AAGAGCCAGAAGCGUCGCUGCCUAUGUCGGGAUAAGGAUACUCAAGCAGAGAGUCCACAAAGCCUUGCGGGCCCCCGUAGAUCUCUCAGCAUCUCGCGAGAUCUGAUUCACCUGUGUGGUUUACUGAGCUCGCAGGGCUUCUGGCCGGGAUGCUUGUUUGUCUGCGUCACCUCCCACUCAGAGCGUUCCAGACUGUGCCCUCCUGGCUGCUGUCAGGACCUGUCAGCCUUACCAGUAGAAACCUGUGCUUUUUCUCAAGGUCAUAUAGCUCUGUAUCGGAUAGCAACAGAGCUUCAGCAAUAAGAGCAGAUGCCAUCUUAGAUUAAUGAAACUCUUCAAAAGCAGGCCAUCAAUCACUGAACAUGUGCAUGAAGAAAUGACCUUCGUGUCUAUUUCUUGUUCUAAAUAAUUUUUCUUUCCUUGUACAAAUUCUUCAAGGUAGUAUAAUUUUUUUCAGCUUCUUGUUCCAUGUUUUUGCUGCGAUAUUGUAAUUGAAUA